rnacentral:rRNA from 1 species
ACACGACUACAUUAGAUACCCCCGUAGUCCCAGCCCUAAACGAUGCGCGUUAGGUGUAUCGGUGACCACGAGUCACCGAGGUGCCGAAGGGAAACCGUGAAACGUGCCGCCUGGGAAGUACGGUCGCAAGGCUGAAACUUAAAGGAAUUGCGGGGAGCACCACAACGGGUGGAGCCUGCGGUUUAAUUGGACUCAACGCCGGGAAGCUCACCGGAUAAGACAGCGGAAUGAUUGCCGGGCUGAAGACCCUGCAUGACCAGCUG